rnacentral:rRNA from 1 species
CUUAAUAACAUGGCAAGUUCGGAACGAACUUCCGUUAAUUGAUUAUGACGUACUUGUACUGAUUGAGAUUUUAACACGAAGUGAGUGGCGAACGGGUGAGUAACACGUGGGUAACCUGCCCAGAAGUAGGGGAUAACACCUGGAAACAGAUGCUAAUACCGUAUAACAGAGAAAACCGCAUGGUUUUCUUUUAAAAGAUGGCUCUGCUAUCACUUCUGGAUGGACCCGCGGCGUAUUAGCUAGUUGGUGAGGUAAAGGCUCACCAAGGCAGUGAUACGUAGCCGACCUGAGAGGGUAAUCGGCCACAUUGGGACUGAGACACGGCCCAGACUCCUACGGGAGGCAGCAGUAGGGAAUCUUCCACAAUGGACGCAAGUCUGAUGGAGCAACGCCGCGUGAGUGAAGAAGGGUUUCGGCUCGUAAAGCUCUGUUGUUAAAGAAGAACGUGGGUAAGAGUAACUGUUUACCCAGUGACGGUAUUUAACCAGAAAGCCACGGCUAACUACGUGCCAGCAGCCGCGGUAAUACGUAGGUGGCAAGCGUUAUCCGGAUUUAUUGGGCGUAAAGCGAGCGCAGGCGGUCUUUUAAGUCUAAUGUGAAAGCCUUCGGCUCAACCGAAGAAGUGCAUUGGAAACUGGGAGACUUGAGUGCAGAAGAGGACAGUGGAACUCCAUGUGUAGCGGUGAAAUGCGUAGAUAUAUGGAAGAACACCAGUGGCGAAGGCGGCUGUCUGGUCUGCAACUGACGCUGAGGCUCGAAAGCAUGGGUAGCGAACAGGAUUAGAUACCCUGGUAGUCCAUGCCGUAAACGAUGAUUACUAAGUGUUGGAGGGUUUCCGCCCUUCAGUGCUGCAGCUAACGCAUUAAGUAAUCCGCCUGGGGAGUACGACCGCAAGGUUGAAACUCAAAAGAAUUGACGGGGGCCCGCACAAGCGGUGGAGCAUGUGGUUUAAUUCGAAGCUACGCGAAGAACCUUACCAGGUCUUGACAUCUUCUGACAGUCUAAGAGAUUAGAGGUUCCCUUCGGGGACAGAAUGACAGGUGGUGCAUGGUUGUCGUCAGCUCGUGUCGUGAGAUGUUGGGUUAAGUCCCGCAACGAGCGCAACCCUUAUUACUAGUUGCCAGCAUUAAGUUGGGCACUCUAGUGAGACUGCCGGUGACAAACCGGAGGAAGGUGGGGACGACGUCAAAUCAUCAUGCCCCUUAUGACCUGGGCUACACACGUGCUACAAUGGAUGGUACAACGAGUCGCGAGACCGCGAGGUUAAGCUAAUCUCUUAAAACCAUUCUCAGUUCGGACUGUAGGCUGCAACUCGCCUACACGAAGUCGGAAUCGCUAGUAAUCGCGGAUCAGCAUGCCGCGGUGAAUACGUUCCCGGGCCUUGUACACACCGCCCGUCACACCAUGAGAGUUUGUAACGACCCAAAGCCGGUGAGGGGUUAACCUUUUUUUGUGGGG